UGCGAAUGGCUCAUUAAAUCAGUUAUCGUUUAUUUGAUAGUACCUUACUACUUGGAUAACCGUGGUAAUUCUAGAGCUAAUACAUGCUAAAAACCCCGACUUCGGAAGGGGUGUAUUUAUUAGAUAAAAAACCAAUGCCCUUCGGGGCUCCUUGGUGAAUCAUAAUAACUUAACGGAUCGCAUGGCCUUGCGCCGGCGACGGUUCAUUCAAAUUUCUGCCCUAUCAACUUUCGAUUGUAGGGUAUUGGCCUACAAUGGUAUCAACGGGUAACGGGGAAUUAGGGUUCGAUUCCGGAGAGGGAGCCUGAGAAACGGCUACCACAUCCAAGGAAGGCAGCAGGCGCGCAAAUUACCCAAUCCCGACACGGGGAGGUAGUGACAAUAAAUACUGAUACAGGGCUCUUUUGGGUCUUGUAAUUGGAAUGAGUACAAUUUAAAUCCCUUAACGAGGAACAAUUGGAGGGCAAGUCUGGUGCCAGCAGCCGCGGUAAUUCCAGCUCCAAUAGCGUAUAUUAAAGUUGUUGCAGUUAAAAAGCUCGUAGUUGAACCUUGGGCCUGGCUGGCCGGUCCGCCUCACCGCGUGCACUGGUCCGGCCGGGCCUUUCCUUCUGGAGAACCGCAUGCCCUUCACUGGGUGUGUCGGGGAACCAGGACUUUUACUUUGAAAAAAUUAGAGUGUUCAAAGCAGGCCUUUGCUCGAAUACAUUAGCAUGGAAUAAUAGAAUAGGACGUGCGGUCCUAUUUUGUUGGUUUCUAGGACCGCCGUAAUGAUUAAUAGGGAUAGUCGGGGGCAUCAGUAUUCAAUUGUCAGAGGUGAAAUUCUUGGAUUUAUUGAAGACUAACUACUGCGAAAGCAUUUGCCAAGGAUGUUUUCAUUAAUCAGUGAACGAAAGUUAGGGGAUCGAAGACGAUCAGAUACCGUCGUAGUCUUAACCGUAAACGAUGCCGACUAGGGAUCGGGCGAUGUUAUUAUUUUGACUCGCUCGGCACCUUACGAGAAAUCAAAGUUUUUGG
rnacentral:rRNA from 1 species